GACGAACGCUGGCGGCGUGCUUAACACAUGCAAGUCGAACGGAAAGGCCCUGCUUUUGUGGGGUGCUCGAGUGGCGAACGGGUGAGUAACACGUGAGUAACCUGCCCUUGACUUUGGGAUAACUUCAGGAAACUGGGGCUAAUACCGGAUAGGAGCUCCUGCUGCAUGGUGGGGGUUGGAAAGUUUCGGCGGUUGGGGAUGGACUCGCGGCUUAUCAGCUUGUUGGUGGGGUAGUGGCUUACCAAGGCUUUGACGGGUAGCCGGCCUGAGAGGGUGACCGGCGACAUUGGGACUGAGAUACGGACCAGAAGCGUACGGGAGGCAGCAGUGGGGAAUAUUGCACAAUGGGCGGAAGCCUGAUGCAGCAACGCCGCGUGCGGGAUGACGGCCUUCGGGCUGUAAACCGCUUUCGCAUGUGACGAAGCGUGAGUGACGGUAAUGGGUAAAGAAGCACCGGCUAACUACGUG
rnacentral:rRNA from 1 species